GAUGAACGCUGGCGGCGUGCCUAAUACAUGCAAGUCGAGCGAACGGACGAGAAGCUUGCUUCUCUGAUGUUAGCGGCGGACGGGUGAGUAACACGUGGAUAACCUACCUAUAAGACUGGGAUAACUUCGGGAAACCGGAGCUAAUACCGGAUGAUAUUUUGAACCGCAUGGUUCAAAAGUGAAAGACGGUCUUGCUGUCACUUAUAGAUGGAUCCGCGCUGCAUUAGCUAGUUGGUAAGGUAACGGCUUACCAAGGCAACGAUGCAUAGCCGACCUGAGAGGGUGAUCGGGCACAUUGGAACUGAGAGACGGACCAGACUCCGAAGGGAGGCAGCAGUAGGGAAUCUUACGAAAUGGGCGAAAGCCUGACGGAGCAACGACGCGUGAGUGAUGAAGGUAUUCGGAUCGUAAAACUCUGUUAUUAGGGAAGAACAUAUGUGUAAGUAACUGUGCACAUCCUGAUGGUACCGAAUCAGAAAGACACGGCUAACUACGU
rnacentral:rRNA from 1 species